rnacentral:rRNA from 1 species
GACUGCUAAUACCGCAUGAUAGCUACAGCUCAAGGGGGCUUCGGCUCUCGCCUUUAAAGAACCCAACUGUUCAUUAGAUAGUUGGUGGGGAAAUGGCCUACCAAGUCAACGAUCCCUAGCUGGUCUGAAAGGAUGAUCAGCCCCACGGGAACUGAGACACGGUCCAGACUCCUACGGAAGGCACCAGUGGGGAAUACUUCACAAUGGGCACAAGCCUGAUGCACCCAUGCCGCGUGUGUGAAAAAGGCCUUCGGGUUGUAAGCACUUUCUGCGAGGAGGAAGGGUUGUUGGUUAAUACCCACCUGCUUUGACGUUUCUCUC